rnacentral:rRNA from 1 species
GAUGAACGCUAGCUACAGGCUUAACACAUGCAAGUCGAGGGGCAGCAUGGGAUUAGCUUGCUAAUCCUGAUGGCGACCGGCGCACGGGUGCGUAACGCGUAUCCAACCUGCCCUCUACUCCGGAACAGCCCGUCGAAAGGGGGGUUAACGCCGGAUGCUGCAAUUUUUCCGCAUGGUGGAAUUGCGAAAUGAAAAAGGUUGGGGCUGGGGAUGCGUCCCAUUAGGUAGUAGGCGGGGUAACGGCCCACCUAGCCGACGAUGGGUAGGGGUUCUGAGAGGAAGGUCCCCCACAUUGGAACUGAGACACGGUCCAAACUCCUACGGGAGGCAGCAGUGAGGAAUAUUGGUCAAUGGGCGAGAGCCUGAACCAGCCAAGUAGCGUGCAGGAUGACGGCCCUAUGGGUUGUAAACUGCUUUUAUAAGGGAAUAAAGUGAGCCUCGUGAGGCUUUUUGCAUGUACCUUAUGAAUAAGGACCGGCUAAUUCCGUG